rnacentral:lncRNA from 1 species
UCAAACAUAGGAGCAACCAUUGUGCUCCUAGGAAAAAUAUGGGCACUACAGCUCUGUUCUUGGUGACCACCGUGGUCAUGGCCAUGGUCUUCUCACCCUACCUUGUGCAAGGACUAAAAGGUUGUGCAUACAUUAAUUCCUUUGUAUUUUCUUUUACUUUUCACCAGGCAUAUAUUCAAUAUCAACUAUGAAAGGAUGUCUAUAUUACUACAUUUUAGUUUUGUGAUGGUGCAGAAAAUUGUAUUGACUUGCAUGGAGGGAAAUGCGAUAAAGAAACGUGCUCCAAGGUUUGCAAGGCGAAUGGGUAUGUCGACCCAGUUGUGAAAUGCUCGAAUCCCCGAGGCAAAAGUGGCCAGUGUUGUUGUUUUGUGAAAUGCUGUGGGGGGAGAGGGCUUGAUUCCAAGCCGGCUAUGAGAGUAUGAGACUCACAAUGGUGGCUAGUUAUAUGCUUGCGUGACAUGAAUGAUUG